AGUAACCUUUGAGUAAAUCUAGGAGGGGCAUGACAGAUGAGAGAUUGUUCUGAUUAAGCAAGGCACAGAAAGCAACUGCAAAGUGAGAAGCACCCUGGAGAAAUACACAUCUGUAUGCUACUACUUUCAGGCAUGUUACUGAAAAAACAUGGUCAGUACAAAAUAGUUUGGACCUGAUGUGAUUUAUCAGCAUAUCUGAAGCAAGCAGAUUUUCCUUGACCAAAAGCCAAGAUGAGGCAGGGGACAAGUCCAUAUCACUCCUAUAUUGUGGAAAGGGCCAAAGGAGUUGGUUAUUUUUGAGACAGCCUGACACACUGGCUGUCCUGCAAUUCACUGUUAUGCAAGCUAGCAAAAAUAAAGUGCAAGAGGUGGCUGCAUGCAUUACUGACACUAGGACAUCCCCUGUUUUAACAUUGGUAAAUGCUGAAAAUUACUUCCCCUC